rnacentral:lncRNA from 1 species
GAAUCUGCUUAUGGACUCAUUUCUAAUUUGUGACUAGUUGAUCUUCUAGUCCUCUUCACCUUGCUCUCAUUACUUGAAACACAUACCUGAACAAAGAGUUUGAGUGAAAUGAAGAGACACAAAUGUAGCCAGUUUAGAGUGAAGAUAGCAGAAUGAAUCCUAGUACUGAAUGAAUCAUUACCACCAUUUAUAAUGCAGACUAUAGCAGGAAUUUGAUAAUAGAUAGGUACUUGGAAAUUUUCCUCAUGAUUAGAUGAAAAAAUUUGUCAGUAUGCGCAUUGGUAGUUAGUCUUUCAAAUAUAAUUUAAAUGAACAUUCUUUGUAGAAUUCUCAAGGUAGCAACAGAAAGUUUCAAACUCUGGGAAGAUUGAAGAAAAAAGAAAGUAACCAAACAGUCUUGGCUGCUUCAGUGCAUGCAUGUGACAAAAAUUUAAGGCCCUUGACUCUUCAUGUUGACCUGCUAAGGAUACUAUCUGACUAAGUAGAAACUGAACACAGUAAUGGUCAAAUUGGAAAAAAAAUCAUCUCCUUAUUUCCCUGAAGCCAUCUGUCUCAAAGUUCAUUAGUCCAACCAAGACUCAAGGAAAAAGUGACUUACUCAUUGGUAUACAGUUUUUAAGUGCCGUAAGAAAUAUUUAAAUAAAAUUCUGUCGUAUUUGUUUUAUUUCUAUUUC